rnacentral:rRNA from 1 species
UACGGAGGGUGCUAGCGUUGUUCGGAAUUACUGGGCGUAAAGCGCGUGUAGGCGGCCGAUUAAGUCUGGUGUGAAAGCCCGGGGCUCACCCCCGGAAGUGCGCUGGAAACUGGUCGGCUAGAGUAUGGGAGAGGAAAGUGGAAUUCCCGGUGUAGCGGUGAAAUGCGUGGAUAUCGGGAGGAACACCAGCGGCGAAGGCGGCUUUCUGGACCAAUACUGACGCUGAGACGCGAAAGCGUGGGGAGCAAACAGG